rnacentral:rRNA from 1 species
AUUGAACGCUGGCGGCAUGCCUUACACAUGCAAGUCGAACGGCAGCACGGGUGCUUGCCCCUGGUGGCGAGUGGCGAACGGGUGAGUAAUACAUCGGAACAUGUCCUGUAGUGGGGGAUAGCCCGGCGAAAGCCGGAUUAAUACCGCAUACGAUCCACGGAUGAAAGCGGGGGACCUUCGGGCCUCGCGCUAUAGGGUUGGCCGAUGGCUGAUUAGCUAGUUGGUGGGGUAAAGGCCUACCAAGGCGACGAUCAGUAGCUGGUCUGAGAGGACGACCCGCCACACUGGGACUGAGACACGGCCCAGACUCCUACGGGAGGCAGCAGUGGGGAAUUUUGGACAAUGGGCGAAAGCCUGAUCCAGCAAUGCCGCGUGUGUGAAGAAGGCCUUCGGGUUGUAAAGCACUUUUGUCCGGAAAGAAAUCCUUGACUCUAAUACAGUCGGGGGAUGACGGUACCGGAAGAAUAAGCACCGGCUAACUACGUG